rnacentral:rRNA from 1 species
AGAGUUGAUCAUGGCUCAGAACGAACGCUGGCGGCAUGGAUUAGGCAUGCAAGUCGAACGGGAGCAGCAAUGCUCCAGUGGCGCAAGGGUGAGGAACACGUGAACAACCUGCCUUCGAGUUGGGGAUAGCUUCUGGAAACGGGAGAUAAUACCGAAUAACAUUAUUUUCUCGCAUGGGGAUUUGAUCAAAGCAGCAAUGCGCUUGAAGAGGGGUUCGCGUCCCAUAGCUAGUUGGUGAGGUAACGGCCCACCAAGGCGAUGAUGGGUAGCUGGUCUGAGAGGACGAUCAGCCACAUUGGGACUGAGAUACUGCCCAGACUCCUACGGGAGGCUGCAGUCGAGUAAUUUUGGGCAAUGGACGAAAGUCUGAACCCCCAGCAAUGCCGCGUGCGGGAUGAAGGUCUUCGGAUUGUAAACCGCUGUCAAGAGGGACGAAAUUUGACGGUACCUCUGGAGGAAGCCACGGCUAACUACGUGCCAGCCGCCGC